GGCUGUAGCUCAGUGGUAGAGCACUUGCCUCCUUGUGUAAGGCACUGGGUUCAAUCCUCAGCACCA
rnacentral:tRNA from 1 species